rfam:Salmo salar isolate Sally breed double haploid chromosome ssa23, whole genome shotgun sequence.
AAUGCACCAAUUUGUAAGUCGCUCUGGAUAAGAGCGUCUGCUAAAUGAUGAAAA